UGGCUCUCCUCGACGGCCCAGCUUUUUAAGCAUCAGGAUUAAAGUUUAGUCAAGAGUGACAAGAACCGGAGACUGGCGAUCUAGCAGCAAGUGGAGCAGCAUGGCCAAACCUUGUGGGGUGUGCCUGAGCGGGGAAGCCUGCAAACAGGUAGAUGUCUUCAGGCAAAAUCUUUUCCAGGAGGCUGAGGAAUUCCUCUACAGAUUCUUGCCUCAGAAUAUCAUAUACCUGAAUCAGCUCUUGCAGGAGGAUCCCCUCAGUGUGACUGACCUGACUUCUCUCCGGGCCCCACUGGGCAUCCCCAUCCCAGACCCUCCACCCAAGGAUGAUGAGAUGGAAAUGGAUAAGCAGGAGAAGAAAGAAGUCCCUAAGUGCGGCUUCCUUCCUGGAAUUAGAAGGUCCUGACCCUGCUUGCUCUGAUUAAGCCAGAAGUCUGGACUCUCAAAGAAAAAUGCAUUCUGGUGAUCACAUGGAUCCACCACCUGACCCCCAAAAUUGAGGAUGGAGAUGACUUUGGAGUAGCAAUCCAGGAAAAGGUGCUGGAGAGGGUAAAUGCAGUCAAGACCAAAGUGGACGCCUUCCAGACAACCAUUUCCAAGUACUUCUCAGAACGCGGGGAUGCUGUAGCCAAGGCUUCUAAGGAGACCUGUGUGAUGGAUUACCGGGCCCUGGUGCGCGAGCGAGAUGAGGCAGCCUAUGGGGAGCUCAGGGCCACGGUGCUGGACCUGAGGACCUUCUAUGCUGAGCUGUACCAUAUUAUCAGCAGCGACCUAGAGAAAAUUGUCAACCCAAAGGGUGAAGAGAAGCCAUCUAUACACUGAGCCCAGGGUUAGAAGGGAAAUAAAUGACCUAUAUACUUUGUGUGGAUUUAAAAAAAAAAAAUGUUA